GUUGUAUAGUCAAGUAAUUAAGUGCAUGUGGUGGAUGCCUUGGCAGUCAGAGGCGAUGAAAGACGUGAUAGCCUGCGAAAAGCUCCGGGGAGGCGGCAAAUAUCCUUUGAUCCGGAGAUGUCUGAAUGGGGGAACCCACCUACUUUAAGGUAGGUAUUGCAACAUGAAUACAUAGUGUUGCAAGGCGAACGAGGGGAAGUGAAACAUCUCAGUACCCUUAGGAAAAGAAAUCAAUUGAGAUUCCCUCAGUAGCGGCGAGCGAACGGGGGUCAGCCCAUUAAGUUAUGUGUGUUUUAGUGGAACGCUCUGGGAAGUG
rnacentral:rRNA from 1 species